rnacentral:lncRNA from 1 species
UAGUGUAUGCAAUGGUGUCAGCGUUUGGAAGCUGAUCAUGGGAUGGAUCCCUGGAUAUGGCAAUCACUCGAUGGUCCAUCCUUUCUUCACAGCUCCAAUUUUGUCUCUGUAACUCCUUCCAUGGGUGUUUUGUUCCCAAUUCUAAGAAGGGGCAAAGUGUCCACACUUUGGUCUUCAUUCUUCUUGAGUUUCAUGCGUUUAGCAAAUUGUAUCUUAUAUCUUGGGUAUCCUAAGUUUCUGGGCUAAUAUCCACUUAUCAGUGAGUACAUAUUGUGUGAGUUCCUUUGUGAUUGGGUUACCUCACUCAGGAUGAUGCCCUCCAGGUCCAUCCAUUUGCCUAGGAAUUUCAUAAAUUCAUUAUUUUUAAUAGCUGAGUAGUACUCCAUUGUGUAAAUGUACCACAUUUUCUGUAUCCAUUCCUCUGUUGAGGGGCAUCUGGGUUCUUUCAAGCUUCUGGCUAUUAUAAAUAAGGCUGCUAUGAACAUAGUGGACCAUGUGUCCUUCUUACCGGUUGGGACAUCUUCUGGUUAUAUGCCCAGGAGAGGUAUUGCUGGAUCCUCCUGUAGUACUAUGUCCAAUUUUCUGAGGAACCGCCAGACUAAUUUCCAGAGUGAUUGUACAAGCUUGCAAUCCCACCAACAAUGGAGGAGUGUUCCUCUUUCUCCACAUCCUCACCAGCAUCUGCUGUCACCUGAAUAUUUGAUCUUAGCCAUUCUGACUGGUGUGAGGUGGAAUCUCAGGCUUGUUUUGAUUUACAUUUCCCUGAUGAUUAAGGAUGUUGAACAUUUUUUCAGGUGCUUCUCUGCCAUUCGGUAUUCCUCAGGUGAGAAUUCUUUGUUCAGCUCUGAGCCCCAUUUUUUAAUGGGGUUAUUUGAUUUUCUGGAGUCCACCUUCUUGAGUUCUUUAUAUAUAUUGGAUAUUAGUCCCCUAUCUGAUUUGGGAUAGAUAAAGAUCCUUUCCCAAUCUGUUGGUGGUCUUUUUGUCUUAUCGACGGUGUCUUUUGCCUUGCAGAAGCUUUGCAAUUUUAUGAGGUCCCAUUUAUCGAUUCUCAAUCUUACAGCACAAGCCAUUGCUGUUCUAUUCAGGAAUUUUCCCCCUGUACCCAUAUCUUCGAGGCUUUUCCCCACUUUCUCCUCUAUAAUUUUCAGUGUCUCUGGUUUUAUGUGGAGUUCCUUAAUCCACUUAGAUUUGACCUUAGUACAAGGAGAUAGAAAUGGAUCAAUUCGCAAUCUUCUACAUGAUAACAGCCAGUUGUGCCAGCACCAUUUGUUGAAAAUGCUGUCUUUUUUCCACUGAAUGGUUUUAGCUCCCUUGUCAAAGAUCAAGUGACCGUAAGUGUGUGGGUUCAUCUCUGGGUCUUCAAUUCUGUUCCAUUGGUCUACUUGUCUGUCACUAUACCAGUACCAUGCAGUUUUUAUCACAAUUGCUCUGUAGUACAGCUUUAGGUCAGGCAUGGUGAUUCCACCAGAGGUUCUUUUAUCCUUGAGAAGAGUUUUUGCUAUCCUAGGUUUUUUGUUAUUCCAGAUGAAUCUGCCAAUUGCCCUUUCUAAUUCGUUGAAGAAUUGAGUUGGAAUUUUGAUGGGGAUUGCAUUGAAUCUGUAGAUUGCUUUUGGCAAGAUAGCCAUUUUUCCUAUAUUGAUCCUGCUACUCCAUGAGCAUGGGAGAUCUUUCCAUCUUCUGAGAUCUUCUUUAAUUUCUUUCUUCAGAGACAUGAAGUUCUUAUCAUACAGAUCUUUCACUUCCUUAGUUAGUGUCAUGCCAAGGUAUUUUAUAUUAUUUGUGACUAUUGAGAAGGGUGUUGUUUCCCUAAUUUCUUUCUCAGCCUGUUUAUCCUUUGUGUACAGAAAUGCCAUUGACUUGAGUUAAUUUUAUAUCCAGCUACUUCAUUGAAGCUGUUUAUCAGGCUUAGGAGUUGUCUGGUGGAAUUUUUAGGGUCGCUUAUAUAUACUAUCAUAUCAUCUGCAAAAAGUGAUAUUUUGAAUUCUUCCUUUCCAAUUUGUAUCCCCUUGAUCUCCUUUUGUUGUCUAAUUGCUCCCAUAUUCUUAAGGCCAUCUUAUAAUUCAGAUGCAUUUAGUCCAACUUCAAAAGUCCCCUGUGUUUUACAAUAUUAACACUGUUUAAAAGUCUAAGUUCAAAGUCUCUUCUGACACUCAAGUCCAUCCAUCCCUUAAUUGUAAACCCCUAUAAAAUAAAAAGGCAAGUUGCAUGCUUCUAACAUAGAGUGGCAUAAAAUAUGCAUCACUAUUCCAAAAAAGAGGAAUGGGGGCACAGUGAGAAAAUACUUGACCAAAGCAAUAUGGAACCUUUGCAGGGCAAAUUCCUGUAGCUCCAUAUCCAGUGUCAGAAAGGCUUAGAUGACUCCACCCUUCCAGCUUUGCACUCCCUGUCUGCAGCUCUCUUUGGCAGACAUCCCCAUGACUCUGGCAUCUCUAACUUCCUGGGUCUUUAAGGCAAUCCAGGCUCCACUCUCACAGCUUCCUGUAGGGACCUUUCAGGGCCUCCUUGUAGGGAUUCCCCUGCCAUAUGCCUGGCCUCAGCAGCUCUCCUUAACCAUGGAGGAAGAUUCUGCAAUGCGCUGUGUAUCCCUCAUGUUUCUAAAGCUGGAAGCAUGUAGACAACACUGCCAAGUUUGACUGCCUGCUUGAGAGGGAGCCUGGCCCCCUUAAAUCACAUUUGCAAUCUUUUUCCUUUGUCAUUGAUUUUUAAAAUCCCUUUAGGCCCUUCCUUUGUAAGAGUUGAAAGCAGAGCUGGAUGACAUCUUGCCUUGAGGACACCCCUCCCUUUAUUCCAACACAGAUCAGGCCUCUCUUAACCCCCUUGUCUGCAAGCCUUGGCUGCAACAUUAAGAUUCCUGGUGCUCUUUUUCUUCAUUAAACUGCUUAUUGUCUGACCUGCUCUUUUCAUGGUAUAUAUACAUAGGAGUGAUUACUAACAACCAUGUGAGAGCCAACAGCAGGGCAUUGAGACCUCCUCCACCAAGGAAAUGAGUACACUACUCAGGCAAGUUCUCAGGAUAAAAGCAGACAGCCGUUUUCUUUGCCAAUAUAUCACAAGAAUGAUCUCUGGCCCAGCUGCUCAUAUUGCUCCCCUUUGAAGUCCCUUGAGCUGGACUUGCGUGAUUCUCAGUCUGCGUGACUCUCAGAACUACUGUCUUCUAGGUUUCUAGCAGGAUGGCCCAUUAAGCUCUGCUUACCAUUCUCAACCACUUUUCUAAUCCCCAAACCC